GGGCCCCACCCUCGCGGAGGAAACCCGCUUUCCUUCCAAUGCCGCCGUGGCUGUCCGAAAGAGUUAAUGCUACCGAGUGUCCCGUUCCUGCCGCGGCCUAGAGGGGCCUCCCGGCGGCUCGGCGAGCGUCUGUCGCCGCCUCGCGUCCCGCACCGGAAGGCACUGCGCGUCCGGCUAGUGCCUACGUGGCCUUCGUGCAGCGCCGGUACUCGGAGCCCAGCCCGGCGGGGAUGGCCGCCCCUUCGCACGCGGGGCCCUCGGCCUUCCCGGGGCUUUCGUUCCGUCAGGAUCGGCGGCCCCCGAGGGCUUGUUCCCUCCUCUGGGCCGCGUGUCCCUCACAACGAUCACGUUUUCCUAAUGAGGUGGAAUCCUGUUGUGCUGAUCCCUUCUCCGUGAGAGCAAAGGGUUAAACACGGGAGAUGAGAAGAAGCAUCUGUGAAGGUCACUUGCACAGGUUUCAGAGCAGGCUCAUUUCCUAGGAAUCUGCGUCAGGCAGAGACUUAGUUUCUUCAGAAGCAAUUCUUUCCAGGGUGCAGUAGUGCUCUUAGCAUUGAGAUCCUCACCACCGGGCCCACGGCUGAGCAUAUGCUGGGAACUUACUAAAGCGAAUAAAUGAAGUUCUGCCAGUGGUGCCCUUGCAGCGUACUGGCGGGCCUGAUUCAUAACCUGGGUGUGGAGGUGGUUGGGGGAGGAAAAGUGGGAAAAGACACCCCGUGAAAGCAAGAAGGCAGUGCAAACUGGGGAACCAUGAAAGAAGACCAGUCUGUGCCAGGGUUCCUUUCCCUUGCUGUGGAGCCCACCAGACUCCUUUUGAAAUCACAUUCCCCUGCCUGAGCACUGCUGAAAAAUGAUGAACGUACAGCUGGGGAGCGAUGACAGGGAAGACCUGGCCUUUAUAUCGAGAUACCACACAGCUGCCGUGUUGGGCUGAAUGGUGUUGCCGUGUGACCGGCUAGAGUUAAUAAUGGUGCUACUGACUAACCAGUUCUCUCUUUUUUCUUUUUCCAUGUAUAUUACUUAUCAUAGAAUAAUUCCCUUAAUUAUUGUUGCUUGAUAUUAGGCUGUAUUUGCUCCACACCCUAUUCACAAUCCUACUCUUUCACGAUGCUCUCCAUGUUUCAUAAUCUCUUGAGAUCAGGAUGUGUAUGAGGGAGCAGGGUCUAGAAAUGGCGAGGAAGCUGUGGCUCUGGUUGAGGAUGUACAGAAUGCAUCUGGCCAGCAGGUGAGGACAGGCAUUCAGGACCUGCUGAGUGUCAUUGUGAAGAACCGAGCGAGAAGCACAGGAAUCUACUUAGUGGAGAGGAGCCGACCUGAGAAAUGCACAGUAGCGCUCUGUCCGCCACCAGAAACCACGAGCUGGCUUGGGGUGGUCCCUACCCUUCGUCUUUGGGGAGAAUUUCUCGUUUGGUGCAAUAACGUAGACACGGAUAUAUUCAGUUUAUGUUUAAGGUCCCUAAUACAAAUGUAAAACCUCAGAAUACUUUCCAACAGAAGGCCAGGGAAAGGACAACUAUCCCUCACCCUCGGAGUUGGUGAGUUAAAAUCCAGUGUCUCUUGCUGAAAGUCUCCUUGAGGGCAGAUGCCAUGUGUUAUUCACUAAAUAAAGUUGCAUUAGAGCUGCUCCUGCUGCCAGGAUUAAGGGGUCGGUAUGGAAUAGUGAUGAGUUUCACAAAGUAUGCACUUGUCCACUUAGGGACUAGGUCGGACAUGUGGUCAGUGUAACAAUCUUGUACAUUUUGGGAGAAGGGAGCUGUGAGAGGCACAGGAGAAGAAAAGGAACUUGGCUUUGGUUGUAGGAGAUUGUGGGAAGAAGGCAACUGAGAUCCCAAUCCCAAGUCUGGGAGAGGCACAGAGUAAAGGAGGAGUGUGAGCCAGAGGGACGCUGUAGGCUGAGCCCCUCUGCAGUCAACAGGAAGCAGCUCGCUGGGUGCAGAGACUACAUGCCUGGAACGGGAGAUGCCCGUGUCCCCAGUGAGGAGGCAGACGUAUCCUCGGGCUGCGGGAGGAAGAGCGGUGUUGACAUAAUGUGGAGAAGGCAGAACCGUGUGGUGGGGACAUCAGGGUCCAGGCUGAGGAAGUUCCUGAAGGAUCCAGGGCAUCGGGACAAUUACUAACCGCUAGGAGGGAGCAGAGAAGGCCAAGCAGUAGCACAUGGACAGAGUUAGAGACUGGGUUGGUGACCAGCGGGAGCCGCUACAUCUGAUAGUCCUCCUGCUCCUGGCUCCCUUGGCCUCUCUCUGUGGGGCCGGUCUCUCCCUCGUGGCCACCACCAUUUCAGAGCCAAGCUCUUCACAGGAGUGAGAUGGUACAGGAAUGUCGGGGUUAAAAGAAUUA